CAAAGUCGAUCUUAAUAACCCUCUACAUCUCGACCAACUGAUGGUUGUUAUGGGAAACUAGUGAUCUGUCGUCUAGCGGAAAGUUGUAGUCCACAAAGUGCUCUCACGCAAAGUUUAACAGCAUCAACCUUCUACCCGCUCAAUUGUAGCAUUCUUUACACGAAAUUUUAUAUUAAAAAUUCACAGACAACAUAUGUUCACAUUCAUGGCAAAAUUCAAACGGGACCAGAAAAUAAUUAUUUUCUCACAUUAACUUGCAUUAACGAUUUUUCAAUCUAGAGGUCCAGCGGGGAUAGCGGAAAGGGCGGGACUUACCAACUCUACCCCAACCAAUUUUAUUACUGAAAACUUCCUCAAAAACGUCACAUCAUAGGCUUUCUGGCGAUAUGAUUGGUUAAGGGAUUUGUGGCGCGAAUUUCUUUUACUACGUGAAGGAAAAAUCAAAAGUUGACGUCUCCCUCCACUAGAGGAAAAACAGCAGGAAGCACUAUGCAUCGUUGAUCUUGACGUCGUCUAAAGGAGAAACUACUGGAUCAUCUGAGAUGGAGGGAGAGAAGUAUGUGCAACUGGGGUGAAAGCAGCCGACUGCUGAUGGCAAAUAUGACCCCAAGGACCAAGAUGGCAUGGACAUGGGACAUGGAUGGGUAGCUUCUGGAUGAAGAAGA